UUACGGGCGAAUUUAAGGAACUUCUUUUCGGAACCAGACCCGGCUUUAAAUUUGUCCGGUUUUGUAAUUAUACCAAAUGUUCGCUCGCCAAAGGGGUCAAAUUUGCGAAUUUGUUAAAAAAUUCCUUAAUUGGCCGCGUUAUUCGUAGCCGAAACAACCGCUAGGCAAAUAGUACGAAGUUGGGAGAUAUAAUAAUUAGUAAUCUCUUUUACUAUUUUAACGUUAUUAUUUGAAACACCUUUGGUAAAAGUUUAAAUCAGGCCUGGAAUAUUAACCAGGGUUAGCUAAGGACGGUUCGGGCCAUUAAUAUUAAUACUAAGCGUAUCUUUGGCAAAAACGCUGGUAGAUAAUACGUCAUCAGAUCCUGAAAUCCCCAGUACCGUUAUAGCCGCAUUAAUAACAAUGGGCAAAUUAGCAAAGGUAAUAAUAGAUUGGGAAAAGGCUUUGAUAUUUUGUUUUUCAUGUUUAGGGCGACUGUUGUCUGGAACAAUUUUAAUAGUAAUUUUGUCGACGGCCUCGCGGCGGAGACUAAUUUCAGUGGCAAACCUGGUGCAAAGGUUGUCGUUUCUGGGGAAAGGAAUCUCAAUUAGGGUUUCCAGCACGGAACUCUUCCCAGCAGAUUAAUUUCCACAAACGACGAUCUAAAAUAGGGAUAGGAUAUUGUCGAAACCACAUUUUGGCACGUAACUAAUGGUGUCGAAAAGAAUUCGUUGCUCCGUUAUUUGGAACUUUUCCAAAAUGGAUCCAUAAAAUAGUUUAUUAAAGGAAAAGGAAUUAUCGGGAACGCCCAUAUUGGCCAACAGGAAAUUGUAAAUUUGAAAAACGAGUUUGAGGGAAAUAGGGGACGGGAUAAUAAUAUUUGAGAAAAAAAUCAAAGGAUUGACAGCGAGAAUAUGGCCUUUGUUUAAACUUUUAAAUUAUUGUCGAAAGCCAAAAUCGUAUUGUAAAAUAAAAACACAACACUCUUUAACCGCUAAAUUUUUCGUUUUUUGUCGUUGGAAUAGAAGCAAAGAUCCUUAAAACCCUCCUCCCUUGGUAUUAUCAAAUGGCAUUUAUUUUUAAAUUGCCGGACCUAUAAUCAGCCGCUAUACCACAUUAUAAAACAGGGCGGCCAAUUAUAUUAGCUGGCCUAUCGGAAAUUUUUAAUCUAAAAAAUAAUUUUCCCAAUAAAAUUACCAUUUUUCAAUUAUACGGGAGGCCCUCCUUUUCUGCGCCUCCGUUUCCGCCAGGUUAAAUACAUUUCCUCGCUUAAUACCAACAAAAUUUGGCAAAAAAGAAAUAAAUUUCCAUUUGGUUUAAAGCCAGUAGGAAGACGUAAAUUAUAUAUAUAUUUGGUUAAUUAGUUUAAAUUGCUUUUUUAAAACGCUAGGCUAAUUAAAGGAACCGUUACAUUACCUAAUGUUGGAAACUAUAAAAGCUUUUUAACCCAGCGCAUAGAAAGCCUGUUGCAUAAUCGGCCGCAUAUUAGGUAAAGAAACGAUUUCCAUUACCAGGUAUUUUAAAAGCUUUUAAUUGGUUGUCCAUAUCCGACAAAAUGCAAUAUGGGAGGCCCACCAUCCUCCUAUUAACUAAAUUAACAGUUUUGGAAACGGGCGAUCCAGCCACAAAUUAGCAUAUAUAAAAGGCCCUCCACCGUUUAUUAAUGGGGUUAGAAUUGAGGCAUUUGCCAGAAUAUUUGUAAAACACAAAUCUCGAUUUUUGGGGAUGUGUUUGUCAGAUUUGGAGCUUUUAAUUUGUACCACUGGAGUCGGCCGUACUGGGUUUGCUUACGCCCUAAACAACGCACUAUUAGUAAAGUUGAAAAUUAUUAAUUCUUUAAUUAAAAAUACCACCAUUAUGCAGGAGGCCCUCCAUAUGUAACGCCUAAAAAAAAUGCUCUAUUACGGGCCAUUAACCAAGAUGCCUGCUUGUUAGGAAUGUCGGAAGCCCUCGGUUGCAUGCCCAAAUAUUAUUAGUUUUAUAUAAAAGGCCUGCUAUUUUCCUGCUAUUAUAUCGCACAAACAAUGGUUUUGGUAAUUAUUAUUUAUACGAUUACGAAAAAACAUUUGGGAUGCAGGAAAUAUCGAUUAAUACGCUAUAUUAUCCCCUGUCGUUUCGCAAAAAAUACCCAGCCAUAAACUAUUAGCUCCAAAAAUGGAGGGCCUCCUGCAUGAAGGGGAUUCCUAUUUUAACUGGCUGGCUAGUAAUUUAACACACCAUAUAUUAAAUUAUAUAUGGGUAUAAUAUAUAGGUCUUGUGGCAAAUACGGAAAUAUAUAGGCGCAGUUAUAACAACCGUUUCUAUACCAUUACCACAUUAUCGCCUGUUCGCGAACAUCGAUUUGCGCCUUUCCCGCAUAAAAAAAAUACGUUUAGCAAUUUUUUCAAGCCCAUAAAUCACAUAUUGCAUAUUUCUAUCGUUUCGCGCGAAUAAAUUGUAAUAUUUGGACCUUAAGAUCACCAGACCCUAACCCUAACCCCUGACCAACGACCCACCAGGGUAAUACCUAACGUAUAUUAACGUAUAUAUAUAGUUAGAUUUAGUGGGUAGGAAAGCCAUAUAUUGGUGUAGGCCAUGCUAUUUGUAUUAAAACGCGUGUUAGAGUUUUUAUCGUGUUUCUAACGCUAAUUCAACGUUUAUUAUUAUGUAACGACAAAUUCUAUCUAAUUAUUUAAUGCAAUAAUACCUUCAUUUAAAUUACGUCGCGUCAAAUUCGGAAUUUUGUUUGUUUCUUUCCCUUUCCUCAAAGUAGAAUUUUCGUCGAUAGGCGCCAAUAAAUUAAUUUCCGUACUAUAUUUACCCUGGCCGUAAUAAUUACCACGCAAUCCAUUAAUUUAAUAUAUUUUCAUUUUUGGAUUUUUUCGUGGCAAUAGUUAAAAUUCACGAACUUAUUUUAACGGACACGUUUAUAUAAUAUAAUUGUCCUGUAUAGUUAGCCUUUGUGGCCGCUAAACCGAAUGGGGAGGGGUUGGCCAGGCGAAAUGGCCGUUAAUAUAUAAAUACAACUAUUCCUCCUUCCCUACCUAAACCACCGGACAGUAAAUAGCCUAUUAAUCCAAUAUAAUUAAUAAAAAUCCCUUUAUUUAAUUAAAACUGUUUGGGCCAUUUUAAUUAAUAUUUUAUCGAAACGGUGGCAGAUUAUAACGGAGCGCGGGUGGUUUUAUAACCGGCGACACUAUCCCGUUGGAAUAUAAACUUUAAAUUAAGCGAGAUAACGGAUAUAAAUAACAAAAAGUUAUAGGUUAAAAGGCUAAAAAAAUCAGUGCAAAUUUACUGUUAAAUUUUGUGGUUACCAAUCAACUCAACUCCUGGCUGCGUUCUAGCUAAUUUGUAUUAAGGGGGUCCGGCAUCUGAUAAUAUAACUGGUUAUAACCGCACAAUAUUGCAUGACAAGAUAUACCUAGGUGCAUAGCUGAGGAUAUCCGAUAUAGCACAACAUGGUUUGGCUACCCCCCAUUACAGCAUUACCACACAUUUGAUCCGCUUCGUGUUUUUUCCUAUCGAAGGAUUAAAACUUUUAUGCUCCAAUUAAAACCACGGGUAGUCUUGGUCUCCCGGUUUCUUCCCACACGUCUUUGCCAAUUUACCUGUGUUCGACAGACCAAUAAAUAUGUUUAACGAACCAUGUGCAUAUUGCACGUAAAUGAUCGAUA
rnacentral:sRNA from 1 species